rnacentral:tRNA from 1 species
AUUAAAGUGGCAGAAAAAUGCGAAGGAUUUAAGCUCCUUAUAUGAUUUAUUCCUUUAACA